rnacentral:rRNA from 1 species
GACGAACGCUGGCGGCGCGCUUAACACAUGCAAGUCGAGCGAAGCGGCGGACGGGUGAGUAACACGUGAGUAACCUGCCUUAGACAUUGGGAUAGCCUCGGGAAACCGGGAUUAAUACCAAAUGGUCUAAGAUGUACUCGCGUCCAAUCAGCUUGUGGGUGGGGUAGUGGCCUACCAAGGCGACGACGGGUAGCCGGCAUGAGAGGGCGACCGGCCACAGUGUGACUGAGAUACGGCCCAAACUCUACGGGAGGCAGCAGUGGGGAAUAGUGCACAAUGGGGGAAACUCUGAUGCAUCAACGCCGCGUGAGGGAUGACGGCGUUCGGGUUGUAAACCGCUUUCAGCCAUGACGCGGUAGUGGCAGAAGAAGCACCGGCUAACUACGGGCCAGCAGCCGCGGUAAUAC